rnacentral:rRNA from 1 species
AUUGAACGCUGGCGGCAGGCCUAACACAUGCAAGUCGAGCGAGCGGCGGACGGGUGAGUAAUGUCUGGGAAACUGCCUGAUGGAGGGGGAUAACUACUGGAAACGGUAGCUAAUACCGCAUACCAUCAGAUGUGCCCAGAUGGGAUUAGCUGGUAGGUGGGGUAACGGCUCACCUGGGCGACGAUCCCUCGCGGGUCUGAGAGGAUGACCAGCCACACUGGAACCGAGACACGUUCCAGACUCCUACGGGAGGCAGCAGUGGGGAAUCGUGCACAAUGGGCGAAAGCCUGAUGCAGCCAUGCCGCGUGUGUGAAGAAGGCCUUCGGGUUGUAAAGCACUUUCAGCGGGGAGGCGUUACCCGCAGAAGAAGCACCGGCUAACUCCGUGCCAGCAGCCGCGGUAAUUC